AAAUUGAAGAGUUUGAUCAUGGCUCAGAUUGAACGCUGGCGGCAGGCCUAACACAUGCAAGUCGAACGGUAACAGGAAGCAGCUUGCUGCUUCGCUGACGAGUGGCGGACGGGUGAGUAAUGUCUGGGAAACUGCCUGAUGGAGGGGGAUAACUACUGGAAACGGUAGCUAAUACCGCAUAAUGUCGCAAGACCAAAGAGGGGGACCUUCGGGCCUCUUGCCAUCGGAUGUGCCCAGAUGGGAUUAGCUUGUUGGUGGGGUAACGGCUCACCAAGGCGACGAUCCCUAGCUGGUCUGAGAGGAUGACCAGCCACACUGGAACUGAGACACGGUCCAGACUCCUACGGGAGGCAGCAGUGGGGAAUAUUGCACAAUGGGCGCAAGCCUGAUGCAGCCAUGCCGCGUGUAUGAAGAAGGCCUUCGGGUUGUAAAGUACUUUCAGCGGGGAGGAAGGGAGUAAAGUUAAUACCUUUGCUCAUUGACGUUAUCCGCAGAAGAAGCACCGGCUAACUCCGUGCCAGCAGCCGCGGUAAUACGGAGGGUGCAAGCGUUAAUCGGAAUUACUGGGCGUAAAGCGCACGCAGGCGGUUUGUUAAGUCAGAUGUGAAAUCCCCGGGCUCAACCUGGGAACUGCAUCUGAUACUGGCAAGCUUGAGUCUCGUAGAGGGGGGUAGAAUUCCAGGUGUAGCGGUGAAAUGCGUAGAGAUCUGGAGGAAUACCAGUGGCGAAGGCGGCCCCCUGGACGAAAACUGACGCUCAGGUGCGAAAGCGUGGGGAGCAAACAGGAUUAGAUACCCUGGUAGUCCACGCCGUAAACGAUGUCGACUUGGAGGUUGUGCCCUUGAGGCGUGGCUUCCGGAGCUAACGCGUUAAGUCGACCGCCUGGGGAGUACGGCCGCAAGGUUAAAACUCAAAUGAAUUGACGGGGGCCCGCACAAGCGGUGGAGCAUGUGGUUUAAUUCGAUGCAACGCGAAGAACCUUACCUGGUCUUGACAUCCACGGAAGUUUUCAGAGAUGAGAAUGUGCCUUCGGGAACCGUGAGACAGGUGCUGCAUGGCUGUCGUCAGCUCGUGUUGUGAAAUGUUGGGUUAAGUCCCGCAACGAGCGCAACCCUUAUCCUUUGUUGCCAGCGGUCCGGCCGGGAACUCAAAGGAGACUGCCAGUGAUAAACUGGAGGAAGGUGGGGAUGACGUCAAGUCAUCAUGGCCCUUACGACCAGGGCUACACACGUGCUACAAUGGCGCAUACAAAGAGAAGCGACCUCGCGAGAGCAAGCGGACCUCAUAAAGUGCGUCGUAGUCCGGAUUGGAGUCUGCAACUCGACUCCAUGAAGUCGGAAUCGCUAGUAAUCGUGGAUCAGAAUGCCACGGUGAAUACGUUCCCGGGCCUUGUACACACCGCCCGUCACACCAUGGGAGUGGGUUGCAAAAGAAGUAGGUAGCUUAACCUUCGGGAGGGCGCUUACCACUUUGUGAUUCAUGACUGGGGUGAAGUCGUAACAAGGUAACCGUAGGGGAACCUGCGGUUGGAUCACCUCCUUACCUUAAAGAAGC
rnacentral:rRNA from 1 species